rnacentral:rRNA from 1 species
UAGGGAAUCUUCGGCAAUGGGGGCAACCCUGACCGAGCAACGCCGCGUGAGUGAAGAAGGUUUUCGGAUCGUAAAGCUCUGUUGUAAGAGAAGAACGUGUGUGAGAGUUGAAAGUUCACACAGUGACGGUAACUUACCAGAAAGGGACGGCUAACUACGUGCCAGCAGCCGCGGUAAUACGUAGGUCCCGAGCGUUGUCCGGAUUUAUUGGGCGUAAAGCGAGCGCAGGCGGUUUAAUAAGUCUGAAGUUAAAGGCAGUGGCUUAACCAUUGUUCGCUUUGGAAACUGUUAAACUUGAGUGCAGAAGGGGAGAGUGGAAUUCCAUGUGUAGCGGUGAAAUGCGUAGAUAUAUGGAGGAACACCGGUGGCGAAAGCGGCUCUCUGGUCUGUAACUGACGCUGAGGCUCGAAAGCGUGGGGAGCAAACAGG